AGAGUUUGAUCCUGGCUCAGAUUGAACGCUGGCGGCAGGCCUAACACAUGCAAGUCGAGCGGAAACGAUACCAGCUUGCUGGUAGGCGUCGAGCGGCGGACGGGUGAGUAAUACUUAGGAAUCUACCUAGUAGUGGGGGAUAGCUCGGGGAAACUCGAAUUAAUACCGCAUACGACCUACGGGAGAAAGGGGGCAGUUUACUGCUCUCGCUACUAGACGAGCCUAAGUCGGAUUAGCUAGAUGGUGGGGUAAAGGCCUACCAUGGCGACGAUCUGUAGCUGGUCUGAGAGGAUGAUCAGCCACACCGGGACUGAGACACGGCCCGGACUCCUACGGGAGGCAGCAGUGGGGAAUAUUGGACAAUGGGGGAAACCCUGAUCCAGCCAUGCCGCGUGUGUGAAGAAGGCCUUUUGGUUGUAAAGCACUUUAAGCAGUGAAGAAGACUCCUCGGUUAAUACCCGUGGACGAUGACAUUAGCUGCAGAAUAAGCACCGGCUAACUCUGCGCCAGCAGCCGCGGUAAUACAGAGGGUGCAAGCGUUAAUCGGAAUUACUGGGCGUAAAGCGAGCGUAGGUGGCUUGAUAAGUCAGAUGUGAAAUCCCCGGGCUUAACCUGGGAACUGCAUCUGAAACUGUUAGGCUAGAGUAGGUGAGAGGAAGGUAGAAUUCCAGGUGUAGCGGUGAAAUGCGUAGAGAUCUGGAGGAAUACCGAUGGCGAAGGCAGCCUUCUGGCAUCAUACUGACACUGAGGCUCGAAAGCGUGGGUAGCAAACAGGAUUAGAUACCCUGGUAGUCCACGCCGUAAACGAUGUCUACUAGUCGUUGGGUCCCUUGAGGACUUAGUGACGCAGCUAACGCAAUAAGUAGACCGCCUGGGGAGUACGGCCGCAAGGUUAAAACUCAAAUGAAUUGACGGGGGCCCGCACAAGCGGUGGAGCAUGUGGUUUAAUUCGAUGCAACGCGAAGAACCUUACCUGGUCUUGACAUAUCUAGAAUCCUGCAGAGAUGCGGGAGUGCCUUCGGGAAUUAGAAUACAGGUGCUGCAUGGCUGUCGUCAGCUCGUGUCGUGAGAUGUUGGGUUAAGUCCCGCAACGAGCGCAACCCUUGUCCUUAGUUACCAGCGGGUUAAGCCGGGAACUCUAAGGAUACUGCCAGUGACAAACUGGAGGAAGGCGGGGACGACGUCAAGUCAUCAUGGCCCUUACGACCAGGGCUACACACGUGCUACAAUGGUAGGUACAGAGGGCAGCUACACAGCGAUGUGAUGCGAAUCUCAAAAAGCCUAUCGUAGUCCAGAUUGGAGUCUGCAACUCGACUCCAUGAAGUAGGAAUCGCUAGUAAUCGCGGAUCAGAAUGCCGCGGUGAAUACGUUCCCGGGCCUUGUACACACCGCCCGUCA
rnacentral:rRNA from 1 species